rnacentral:rRNA from 1 species
ACGAACGCUGGCGGCGUGCCUAAUACAUGCAAGUAGAACGCACAGUUUAUACCGUAGCUUGCUACACCAUAGACUGUGAGUUGCGAACGGGUGAGUAACGCGUAGGUAACCUGCCUGGUAGCGGGGGAUAACUAUUGGAAACGAUAGCUAAUACCGCAUAAUAUUGAUUAUUGCAUGAUAAUUGAUUGAAAGAUGCUAUUGCAUCACUACCAGAUGGACCUGCGUUGUAUUAGCUAGUAGGUGAGGUAACGGCUCACCUAGGCGACGAUACAUAGCCGACCUGAGAGGGUGAUCGGCCACACUGGGACUGAGACACGGCCCAGACUCCUACGGGAGGCAGCAGUAGGGAAUCUUCGGCAAUGGACGAAAGUCUGACCGAGCAACGCCGCGUGAGUGAAGAAGGUUUUCGGAUCGUAAAGCUCUGUUGUAAGAGAAGAACGGGUGUGAGAGUGGAAAGUUCACACUGUGACGGUAUCUUACCAGAAAGAGACGGCUAACUACGUG